rnacentral:rRNA from 2 species
AAAUUGAAGAGUUUGAUCAUGGCUCAGAUUGAACGCUGGCGGCAGGCCUAACACAUGCAAGUCGAACGGUAACAGGAAGCAGCUUGCUGUUUCGCUGACGAGUGGCGGACGGGUGAGUAAUGUCUGGGAAACAGCCUGAUGGAGGGGGAUAACUACUGGAAACGGUAGCUAAUACCGCAUAACGUCGCAAGACCAAAGAGGGGGACCUUCGGGCCUCUUGCCAUCGGAUGUGCCCAGAUGGGAUUAGCUAGUAGGUGGGGUAACGGCUCACCUAGGCGACGAUCCCUAGCUGGUCUGAGAGGAUGACCAGCCACACUGGAACUGAGACACGGUCCAGACUCCUACGGGAGGCAGCAGUGGGGAAUAUUGCACAAUGGGCGCAAGCCUGAUGCAGCCAUGCCGCGUGUAUGAAGAAGGCCUUCGGGUUGUAAAGUACUUUCAGCGGGGAGGAAGGGAGUAAAGUUAAUACCUUU